UCCUGCCAUGACGAUAAUGAACUGAACCUCCAAAACUGCGCUGAUACCUGCUGGCAUGGUUAUACACUGGCUAAUUACUCUGAACAGUGUGUCACUGGCCGACCACCAAGUUCCUCAAGAUGAUGUAUGCCCCUCGGGACUGGAUCCUGCCCUGUCCGCAUGUUCAUUGCCAGUUUGGUCACUCAGGACCUAAAGCCUCACCCCACUGAGUUCUUCUAAACCAGUGGAACCUCCCUCCUACUCCUCUGAGAACGUUCUUGAAGAUAAGGACUGUGGGACCCU